AUUGAACGCUGGCGGCAUGCCUAACACAUGCAAGUCGAACGGCAGCACAGUAAAGACUUCGGUCUUUAUGGGUGGCGAGUGGCGGACGGGUGAGUAACGCGUAAGAAUCUGUCCUGGAGGGUGGGAUAACCCGAGGAAACUCGGGCUAAUACCGCAUGAUAUCGAGGGAUCAAAAGCAGGGGACCCUUCGGGGCCUUGCGCUCUAGGAUGAGCCCACGUCGGAUUAGCUAGUUGGUGAGGUAAAGGCUCACCAAGGCGACGAUCGGUAGCUGGUCUGAGAGGAUGGUCAGCCACACUGGGACUGAGAUACGGCCCAGACUCCUACGGGAGGCAGCAGUCGAGAGGCUUCGGCAAUGGGGGCAACCCCGACCGAGCGACGCCGCGUGAGGGAUGACGCCCUUCGGGGUGUAAACCUCUUUUGUGAGGGAAGAACCACGGCAAGGUGAACAAUCUUGCCGUCUGACGGUACCUCACGAAUAAGCUCCGGCCAACUCCGUGCCAGCCGCCGCAGUAA
rnacentral:rRNA from 1 species